rnacentral:misc_RNA from 1 species
GUUUUGAUAUUCCUCUCCAAAAACAAUCACUUUUUUAUCAGGCAACCACGUUUUUCUUUUCUUCCUUUCUUUUUGGGUAUUUAAAAUAGAGUUGUUUGCGUUUCCUCCUUUUCACAAGAAAAAGAAAAAAAAAAAGACAAGUCAGAAAAAGACCCAUCCCCCCUUCCUUUUUUCCUUGCAAAAAGAAAAGAAAACAAAAUUUCAAUGAUGAUCCUUCCGCAGGUUCACCUACGGAAA